AGUGAACGCUGGCGGUAGGCCUAACACAUGCAAGUCGAACGGCAGCACAGUAAGAGCUUGCUCUUACGGGUGGCGAGUGGCGGACGGGUGAGGAAUACAUCGGAAUCUACUUUUUCGUGGGGGAUAACGUAGGGAAACUUACGCUAAUGCCGCAUACGACCUACGGGUGAAAGCAGGGGAUCUUCGGACCUUGCGCGAUUGAAUGAGCCGAUGUCGGAUUAGCUAGUUGGCGGGGUAAAGGCCCACCAAGGCGACGAUCCGUAGCUGGUCUGAGAGGAUGAUCAGGCACACUGGAACUGAGACACGGUCCAGACUCCUACGGGAGGGAGCAGUUGGGAAUAUUGGAGAAUGGGCGCAAGCCUGAUCCAGCCAUAGCGCGUGGGUGAAGAAGGCCUUCGGGUUGUAAAGCCCUUUUGUUGGGAAAGAAAAGCAGCAGGUUAAUACCCCGCUGUUCUGACGGUACCCAAAGAAUAAGCACCGGCUAACUUCGUG
rnacentral:rRNA from 1 species